CUUUGUUUUUAAAAGGGGAAUUCUUCGGGGAUUUGCUUUUUCUCUCUUCUGCCUUUGAUUAGUAAAUCAGCAAAAGGCUAUGCUUCAAAUGGAGAUGCAGUAGGUACUUGCUCUUCUCAGCAGUGCAGGUCAUGAAUUCAUCUGUGGCUUUAUUUAAAUACCUCCUGGCUGACAGUUUCUUCAAUGAAAUGACCCCAGAGUGUUAUCAGCUCACUAGCAGGGACAUCAAGGCCUUUGACAGCAAAGGAGCAGUAAGCAACACGAGUUCACUACAGUGGCCAGCUAUGGAUGGUGUCAGCAGAGCACACAGUUUUUACCACCUGGACCUGAUGGUAUUUUUUGUGUUUACAAGUUUGGCUUUUUUUCCCAUUUACUUUUCAAAAAUAAUUGCCCUGGUUUCCAAAAUACAAUAAA